rnacentral:rRNA from 1 species
UACGAAGGGGGCUAGCGUUGUUCGGAAUCACUGGGCGUAAAGGGUGCGUAGGCGGCCGCGCAAGUCUGGCGUGAAAGCCCCGGGCUCAGCCCGGGAAGGGCGCUCGAAACGGCGCGACUCGAGUGCCGGAGGGGAGAGUGGAAUUCCACGUGUAGCGGUGAAAUGCGUAGAGAUGUGGAGGAACACCAGUGGCGAAGGCGACUCUUUGGCCUGUAACUGACGCUGAGGCGCGAAAGCGUGGGGAGCAAACAGG